UAUCCUACGGGGGGCAGCAGUGGGGAAUAUUGCACAAUGGGGGAAACCCUGAUGCAGCGACGCCGCGUGAGCGAAGAAGUAUUUCGGUAUGUAAAGCUCUAUCAGCAGGGAAGAAAAUGACGGUACCUGAGUAAGAAGCUCCGGCUAAAUACGUGCCAGCAGCCGCGGUAAUACGUAUGGAGCAAGCGUUAUCCGGAAUUACUGGGUGUAAAGGGAGCGUAGACGGCUGUGCAAGUCUGGAGUGAAAGGCGGGGGCCCAACCCCCGGACUGCUCUGGCAACUGUAUGGCUGGAGUGCAGGAGAGG
rnacentral:rRNA from 1 species